UGGGGAAUAUUGGGCAAUGGGCGAAAGCCUGACCCAGCAACGCCGCGUGAAGGAAGAAGGUUUUCGGAUCGUAAACUUCUAUCCUUGGUGAAGAUAAUGACGGUAGCCAAGAAGGAAGCCCCGGCUAACUACGUGCCAGCAGCCGCGGUAAUACGUAGGGGGCAAGCGUUGUCCGGAAUGAUUGGGCGUAAAGGGCGCGUAGGCGGCCAACUAAGUCUGGAGUGAAAGUCCUGCUUUUAAGGUGGGAAUUGCUUUGGAAACUGGAUGGCUUGAGUGCAGGAGAGGUAAGCGGAAUUCCCGGUGUAGCGGUGAAAUGCGUAGAGAUCGGGAGGAACACCAGUGGCGAAGGCGGCUUACUGGACUGUAACUGACGCUGAGGCGCGAAAGUGUGGGGAGCAAACAGG
rnacentral:rRNA from 1 species